rnacentral:ncRNA from 1 species
GCGAGCCGUGUGCGGUGAAAGUCGCAUGCACGGUUCUUAAAGGGGAAAGCGGGGGUAACCCCGCAGCCCUACUUGGA